rnacentral:tRNA from 1 species
GGUGGCUUUGUGGUAGAGUGCUUGCCUUGCAUGCAUGAGGACCUGGGUUCAAUUCCUCAGCACCA